GACUGAAUGAAUCCCCCCAAGUUGGAACCCUUCUGCUCACAUACAAAACAUGGGUGCAGCAAGAAACAAGAUGAGCAGCUACAAGAUUUCUAUGGAUGUCUUCAAACACCGAGGGCUCCCUGUCAGCUCGCGUCCACUUCUGCAAGCCAGGCUAUGAGGAAGUAGCUAACGCCAGCCUCUGGGCCUACGGAGGAGUUUCUCUUUGAGCUGCACUCCCACCUUCCCUCCAGCAUCUGGGCAGAACCAGCUGCCAGCUACAGGCUCCUCAACAAUGAGGCUCUCGUCAAAGGCCAGGACCUGCUCCCUGCCUCUGAACCUCUGACGAUCAGGACAUAUCUCCCCACUAGACUCCCGCUAAGGUCCCCUGCACAUGGGGCACACUUACCGCUAGUCUGUGUACUGCAUGAGCUGAUCCACAGUGUGCAACUGUAUGGAUGCAACCCCUCCUUCCAGCUCCUUGUGGACUCACUGCACCAUCAUCACUUCAUACCUGAACUGUCCAGAAAGAGGAUCUGGUCUACUUGGGGCCCUGCAGGUCUGCAUGACCAUGAGAUGGGACCCCUGGUGACCUCAGCCUUUAAAAGACCACCAAUUUCCAGCCCUCCAAGCUAGAUGGUGAACAUGGUAUCCUCCUUCUGCUUGGGAAGUUUGGGGAGCUUGGAUCUCAGAGCACAGGCAUCUGGAGAGGAUGGAGUCAGGGCAAGACAGGAGGCAUGGAUAUUCAGGAACUCAGACCCACACCGAGGGAAGACCCCAUGAGGACACAGGGAGAAGGUGGCAUCUGCAAGGCCAGGAGAGGCCUCAGGGGAACCAGCGCUACUGACGCCUUGAUCUUGGACUUCCAACCUCCAGACCUAUGAGAAAAAACUCUGUCAUUUAAAGAAAUAAGGGAUGUUGCUGUCCCAGACUGUAGUAUUUUGUUAUGGGAGCAUCCCUAGCAAACCAGUACAGAAAGGGAAGCAACUUCUGUCAUAAAUGGGACUUGAUCUGGGAGACUGUGGGGAGGAGAUACCCUAGCCUUUCUCUCGAGCUCUCUGACCUCACCCAAAUGCCAAACCCACCUGGCAGCCAGCAGAGGAGCCAAGCGAUGUGCUCCAUAGGUACAGGUGCAGUCUUCUAGGGCAGCUGUAGGACAGAGAAAGAUAAGAAUGACUCUGGGGUACAAAUAGAAAAUGAUCAGCAAAGACAUCUAAUCAAGUCUUGAGAAAGCAAGAAAGGCUAGACAGAGGAGGUGACUCUUGAACUAAACCUAGAAUAAAAAAUGAAUUAAUGUGAAUAAAGUACUCAGAAUCCUAAUGGGCCAUAAUAAAAGCUAUUGGUGUUAUCAUUUUUUACCACCAGACCCUUUUUAUUGAUUGUUUCUAGAUAAUAAAGUAUAUUUAGAUUAAAAAUAAGUUUAAGAAAAACCCUUUUUACAGAUAAAAUUAGGUUCAUAGGUUGAAUAAAUGGCUAGGUCAGCUUUCACACUCAGACUUUCCCUGCUCAAAAGCUCCCAGGCCUGGUUGCAUCCCUGUGGGUACAAUCAUCAGCUGGCUCUGGAAGAAAAUGUGCUAGACACAGAGGCAUGUUGUCAGGAGAGACAGUGACAACUUUGGGGACCUGAGGUGGUUACCAAGGUGAGGGUACAGAGCACAGAGUGGGGAGAGGCCAGACGUGGUUGGCAAGGAGGCAAGGCCAGAUCAGAGAUAUGGCCAUUUGCCAUGUCAGGAGGUUUGGACUCCUCAGAGACCACAGGGUGUUUCUGAAGAAUGUGGAUUUUAGAAUGAGCAUCUUGAGGGCAUUGGGAGUAAUGUCAUAGUCUACAAGAUGAGACUGAAGAUGGGGAGAUCAGCUAAAAUGCCUAUGUAGAAGACAGGUGAGAAAUGGUGAGAGUCCUAAAUAGAGAUUGGCUAGUGGGAUGCAGAAAAGGGAGCUGGUCAAGGAAAAGAGGAGAAAGCAUUCACAGGACUUGAAGACUAAUUGGAUGUAAGAAGUGGGGAAGAGAGAGGAGCACAGGGCUGCUCCCAGGUUCUUAGCCUGAGAAACUGCAUGUGUGGUGGUGCCACCCUCAAAUCCUGGAAACACAAGAGGAACAGACUUUGUGAGAAAAUGAUCUAUGCUCUUUGAACACAUAUUUCAGAUGCCUCUGGGCUAUCUAAGUAGAAAAGGUAGAGCCACAUUACAUAAGAAUUUUUGUUAAGUAUCUUACAACAGAAAUCACAAUAGGUUGAGUCCUCUAAAAAUAAUUAUUGUUCUUCUUACAUUUGGUAUGAGAGAUAAGCAAAUACAACCAUGAUUAGGUCAUAGUUAUAAGCAUAUUAUUUCAAUAAUUUUUAAGCAAGCAGUUAUGGAGUUUUGUAUAAAGUACUGUAAUAAGUGUUGGGGGAUGGGAAGGUAUCAGUGACAGAUGAUUAAGACAGUCUUCUAGGAAAAGCUGAGGGAGUCACAAAAGUGAAACAAAGGAGUGACCCAAAGAGGAUGGAAGUGGUGGGUGUGGAAUAAAUGCACAUGGUACAUCUCAAGAUUCCCAAUAAACACUGUAUGACUCCACUGAUAUGAAGCACCUAGAAUAGGCAAAUUCUUAGAGACAGAGAAUAGAAUAGAGGUUAUAGGGGAAUGAGGUAUGAGGAGUUAGUGUUUGGAGAUGAUAAAAAGUUAUGGAAUGGUCAGUGGUAAUGGUUGCACAAUAUUAUGAGUGUACUUAAUGCCACUGAAUUGUACCUUUAA